AUGAAUGUAGAUGGAGGGAUUUCCAGGAGUGGUGCUCAAGGAGCUUCGGCUGUUAUUUGUAGAGAUGAGGCGGGAACCUUUCUGGGAGCUUCUGCUAUAGUUUUUAAUGGCCUAGUGGAUCGACCGAGCCUGGAAGCGCAAGCAUGCAAUGAAGCUUUGGCUUUAGCCAAAGAUCUGAACCUUCGGAGUGUACAGGUUGCUUCGGACUGCAUUGAGGUGGUGAACAAUAUCAACCAGGGAGGGGAACCGGUCUAUGGUCCAGUUCUUCACGAGAUAAAUGAUCGCAUGAAAGAGCUAGAUUUUGUUAAUUUUUCUUUUGAGUGUCGUGAAUCGAACUUUGAAGCUCAUGCUUUGGUUAAGGCUUCUACUUCUCUAGCAGUAGGGCGUCAUGUUUGGCUAGGGAUUUUGCCCGAUAUCAUUUGUAUCCCGCACAUUAUUAACAGUGAAUAA
rnacentral:rRNA from 1 species